rnacentral:rRNA from 1 species
AUUGAACGCUGGCGGCAGGCCUAACACAUGCAAGUCGAGCGAGCGGCGGACGGGGGAGUAAUGUAUGGGGAAUCUCCGAUAUUGGGGGGUAUCUCUUGGAAACGCUGUCUCAUAUCCCAUACUCUCUGAUUACCCACAUGGGAUUAGCUAGUAUGGGGGGUAAUGGCUCACCUAGGCGACGAUCCCUAGCUGGUCUUAGAGGAUGAUCAGCCACACUGUGACUGAGACACGGCCCAGACUCCUACGGAGGCAGCAGUGGGGAAGAUUGCACAAUGGGCGCAAGCCUGAUGCAGCCAUGACGCGUGUAUGAAGAAGGCCUUAGGGUUGUAAAGUACUUUCAGUCGGGAGGCGUUACCGACAGAAGAAGCACCGGCUAACUCCGUGCCAGCAGCCGCGGUAAUUC